rnacentral:lncRNA from 1 species
CUCAGGUGCCCCGUCAGCCUGGAGCAACCCCAUUGACUGGAUAUCUUUCAGUAGAAACUGGACAAGGACAAAUGUAAGAAUGAUCCAAAAUUAGAAAAGAUUUUAAAAGACUGAAACUAUUUCUAUAUUGACAUAAUAAUCAUGUGCAAAAAUAAACUAUCACAGUAUAAAGAAAAUGUUAAGAUAAUUUAUCUAGAGCAUCUACACUUGGAUGCUAAAAUUCAAUAUAUCUUUGAUAGAAGUGGAUAUUUUUAUGUAAGGGAUAAAGAGAAUAAAUUACUUCAGAUUUGUAUGAAGAAAGGAGACACAAUAAUUAUUCCUCAAGGGAUUUAUUACCACCUCAUAUUGGAUGAAAAGGACUAUGUAAAGACAAUGAAGCCAUCUGUUGGAGAACCAGUAUUACCAUGUGUAACUGACCAGCUGACCAAUUUGUUGCUCAAGGAUAGCUCAUCAACUUUUUGGCACAAACA